rnacentral:rRNA from 1 species
ACGGGAGGCAGCAGUAGGGAAUAUUGCACAAUGGGGGGAACCCUGAUGCAGCAACGCCACGUGUGGGAAGACGCAUUUCGGUGUGUAAACCACUGUCGUGAGGGAAUAAGGCUACUUUCCGGAGUAGUUGAAUGUACCUUGAAAGGAAGCACCGGCAAACUUCGUGCCAGCAGCCGCGGUAAUACGAGGGGUGCAAGCGUUGUUCGGAAUCACUGGGCGUAAAGGGAGCGCAGGCGGAGAUGCAAGCAGUCUGUACAAUACCGGGGCCCAACCCCGGACCUGCAGACUGGACUGUUUCUCUUGGAUAGCUCAGGGGCAAGCGGAAUUCCUGGUGUAGCGGUUGAAUGCGUAGAGAUCAGGAAGAACACCGAUGGCGAAGGCAGCUUGCUGGGGACUUAUCGACGCUCAUGCUCGAAAGUGCGGGUAGCAAACAGGAUUAGAUACCCUGGUA